rnacentral:misc_RNA from 1 species
UACAGAGGGUGCAAGCGUUAAUCGGAUUUACUGGGCGUAAAGGGCGCGUAGGUGGAUAGUCAAGUGAGAUGUGAAAGCCCCGGGCUUAACCUGGGAACUGCAUCUUAAACUGACUAUCUAGAGUACUGUAGAGGGUAGUGGAAUUUCCGGUGUAGCGGUGAAAUGCGUAGAGAUCGGAAGGAACAUCAGUGGCGAAGGCGGCUACCUGGACAGAUACUGACACUGAGGCGCGAAAGCGUGGGGAGCAAACAGG